GGGUGGUGGCUCAGUGGUAGAGUGCUUGCCUAGCACACAUGAGGCCCUGGGUUUGUUCCCCAGCACCACUUA
rnacentral:tRNA from 1 species